rnacentral:lncRNA from 1 species
GUGGAUGGUUAAGGCAGCUCCUUAGGUGGCUUAAGCUUGCCCUGUGGAACAACCCUGAGGGGGACUCUGACCAGCCCGAGCAAUGUGGAUCCUGAGAGGACUCCCGGGUAGGCAUUUGCCCUGGUGGGAUGCCUUGCCAGAGCAGUGUGUGGCAGGCCCCCAUGGAGGAUCAACACAGUGGCUGAACACCAGGAAGGAACUGGCACUUGGAGUCCGGACAUAUAAAACGUUGAUUCUCCAAGGGCAAAUGAAUUUUGACCAGGAAGACAGUGAAGAAAUUUCAUAAAAGUGAAAUACUAAUUGGAAGCUCCUAUCAGCAUUGGUUGAUCUGACAAGUUGUGUGUGUAGAAACCA